GUUCUAACUCCAACAUUAUUGAUUUCUUGUUGUAUGUACCAGAUAAAAAUAAAUGCACACAAGCACAGUUAUUUAUUAACUGGUCUCUGUAGCUCUUCCUUCAAAAACACAUGCACACAUACAUAAGUAGAUCUCCAGCACACCAAACUGAAAUCUAGCAUCAAGAAGCACUGAAAGAGGAAUAUCCAGGUUCAGUGUGGGGAGAUCAAGAUCAACGCAACCUUAGAAUUUCUUCUUAAGUACACAAUCUCAUAAUACUGUUCUUUAAAAAAAAAAAAAAAAACAAGUUACAAAGUGUUCAGCAUGAGACGUGUCUGGUUUUGCUCUUUGUUCUACACCUGUGGAUUGGAUCAAGUAACAGGUCGCUCGCUCCAGGAGGUGAUUAUGACUUUGAAUUGCGACUGGAAAAGAACCUCAUCACUGCCAUGGCGGGCAGAUCCCCUGUGCAUUUACUACUCCAGUGAGAGUGUAUUCUGCCCAAAAUAUCUGGUUCAGAGGCAGCCCUGAGUUCCCCCUCAGCCCACCAAUGGUGGAGGAAAAGGACAAACUGAUGUGGCCACUACUUUCCCCUGAAAAUGAAUGCAGUGUUAUUCUGUGGGAUUUCAGUGGGAACGAAAGAAUCGAAGAGUACGGGCUCAUGUUAAAAUGGAGAACAAAUGAAACACACAUUUAUGAUGAGAGGGUCAGAGUGUCUUAUUCUACUGCAAAACUGAACAUCAGUCUAAACACUGAGGUCCUUGUAGCUGGAAAGCAGGCUUUUAUAACUUGCACACUUCCAGAUCUCUGCCUCGGUAGUGAUCCAAAUUUAACCUGGAAGGGACUCAGCUCAAAGAAGCUUUAUGAUAUCAGAUAUCCAAGGAAAAUGAACACGCAUUUGAUAUUCAGCCAACAGCUCCUUUACAUGCCUGUCCCUGAAGAUCAUCAAGCAGAGAUCACAUGUGAAGCUACAUUUGGAAGAAAUCGGAGUGCCAGUGCCACCAUGACUUUGAAGGUUCACUCUCAUCCUCAGAUACUGAACAGCUCCGCAUGCUCUCUGCAACAGGAUCAGCUCACUUGUGUGUGUGUCAGUCAGGGAGUGCCUUUGCCUGAUAUUCACUGGCCUCUACAAAACAAUGCUGAUUUGAACAUGGUCAGAGCAUCGGACUGUCACAUCACUGUAAAAAGUACCUUCACAAUGACUGUUGAGGACCUUACCAGAAUCGGUUCUCUAGUGUGUCAGCAGAAAUGAACUCGGUCAGACAAAUAUGACUCUUCCAGUAAAUAUGAAUGAAGGUAAGCCAGCUGAUAAGCAGGCACUGUUAUAUUUUUAGUGUUGGUUAUGAGGCAUAUUUCAGUGUUCCAGCAUGAUUUUUUGUGUAUUAGUGUGUUUACAGUAAAAGAGGAAGCAUAAAAUGGGUAAUCCUAAGAAUAACAUGGGGAACUGAAAAGUAACACGAUGCUCAUGAAAACACAUAGACACUCAUGAUGUUUGAUGUGGUGAAAUGUUACUGCCUGCCUGAACUGUUUCUCUUCUUCUUCUUCUUUCAGGUUUAAUGGCGGUUGGCAACUCAUCUCAAAGGUGCAUUACCGCCACCUACUAGACUGGAGUGUGGGCAUUAGACUGACAUCAAAGGAGUGGAAGAAAAAAAUAAAAUAAAAUAAAUAAAUAAAAUAAAAUAAAAUAAACAAAAUUUCCCUAUUAAAUUCUUUCACUUAACCCAGUGUUUUUCAAAAAUAGCAUUAAUAAAUUGCAUAUUCUCCCAGAUGUUUUCCCUAAUAAAUGUUCAAGUGUCAUGCUUUGUUCAUCCAUUUGUGCCUUUAAUUCUGCCCUAUCUUCUUCAUAUUUUUUGCAGUCUAACAGUAUAUGCUUCACUGUCUUUUGUACAUUACAAUAAGUGCAUAAUCCAGUGGUAUGUUUUCCUAUUCUGUGCAAUGUUGUCUUUAAACCAGUGUGCCACAUUCUAAGACGUGAGACUAACAUCUCCUCCCUUGGGCUUCUGCCCUUCCUCAUGCUUGUGACUACUUGAUUUUGUAUACUGUAUAAAUGAUGUCCUGUAUCCGCUGUGUUCCAAUAUUCCUGCCAUAUUUUAAGUGAAUGUUGAUUUAUGAUGGUUUUGACCUCUGCUCUACUUAUUGGUAUGUGUACAUCUACUGUUUCAGGCUUUGUAGAGUUUUUUGCUAGCAUAUCCACAACUUCAUUUCCUUCCACCCCUACAUGGGCAGGAACCCAAAGGAAGGAGACAGCCAUUCCCUUAUCAUGAAGUGUGAGAAGCAAGUGGAGUAUUUGAUAUAUGAGGUCUUGUCUACAUGACGCUCUCCCAGAUUGAAUGCUUAAUAAUGCUGAUAAACUGUCCGAGGCUAUAACGACACCUUGAUUCUGAUUAUUUUCUUCCACCCACCCUAAUGCCAGUAAAAUUGCUACUAACUCCACAGUGUAAACUGACAGGUAGUCUGUUGUCCUCUUUUUGACUAUUACUUCAUACCGAGGAAUAAAAAAUGCUGCACCAG
rnacentral:lncRNA from 1 species